rnacentral:rRNA from 1 species
GACGAACGCUGGCGGCGGGCUUAACACAUGCAAGUCGAACGGAAAGGCCCUGCUUUUGUGGGGUGAUCGAGUGGCGAACGGGUGAGUAACACGUGAGUAACCUGCCCUUGACUUUGGGAUAACUUCAGGAAACUGGGGCUAAUACCGGAUAGGAGCUCCUGCUCCAUGGAGGGGGUUGGAAAUUCUCGGCGGUUGGGGAUGGACUCGCGGCUUAUCAGCUUGCUGGUGGGGUAGUGGCUUACCCAGGCUUUGACGGGUAGCCGGCCUGAGAGGGUGACCGGCCACAUGGGGACUGAGAGACGGAGCAGACUCCUACGGGAGGCAGCAGUGGGGAAUAUGGCACAAUGAGCGGAAGCCUGAUGCAGCAACGCCGCGUGCGGGAUGACGGCCUUCGGGUUGUAAACCGCUUUCGCCUGUGACGAAGCGUGAGUGACGGUAAUGGGUAAAGAAGCACCGGCUAACUACGUG